ensembl:lincRNA
CUAGAAAGGAGGAGGUGCAAUCGGGGUUACAGCCAGGCUAGCAGGAGCUAGAGUUUAGAGGAAAGGCAGCCAGCACCUGAGACAGAGAAAGGAAGAGGCAAGGUCACUCCUUUCUUGUGUUUCCCCAGACUUUGGUUAGUGCCUGCUGCUCUUGAAGAACUGAUCAAGUGCCAUUUGGCAGGGGAAUCUAGGAAAUGUACUCUGUAAAGAUUACUUUCCUCUUCUCUCCCACCUUCAAAGGAGCAGGAGAAUGGCUGCUCUGGAUGGAAAAUGCCCUGGGUUCUCCGAGACUUAACACCCCGCCUUGUGAACGCGAGCAAGAUUUUUCUCUCUGAGCAGCUCUUUUCACAUGUGAUAAGCUUGGCAAGUUGCCCUGAGCUAACUACGCAUGAUUUGCUGACCUGUAAGCAGUGUGAAAUCCAAGCAUCUACACUCCGAGAUAAGCUGUCAAGAGGCAAGAUAAGGCAUUUGCAAUUGGCAGUGUUUCAAAGGACUCCAGAUUUCUCCAAAGAACCUAGAUUUCCCAGCAGACAAUGA